rnacentral:rRNA from 1 species
UACGGAGGGUGCAAGCGUUGUCCGGAUUUAUUGGGUUUAAAGGGUGCGUAGGCGGCCCGGUUAAGUCAGUGGUGAAAGCCUCCAGCUCAACUGGAGAACUGCCAUUGAUACUGGCGGGCUUGAGUACAGACGAGGUAGGCGGAAUUGAUUGUGUAGCGGUGAAAUGCAUAGAUACAAUCAAGAACACCGAUUGCGUAGGCAGCUUACUAGGCGUAACUGACGCUGAGGCACGAAAGCGUGGGGAGCGAACAGG